rnacentral:rRNA from 1 species
AUGGACGCCGACGCCGACACGGUGGUGUUCGAGGCACCGGCGCACUUCCGCUUCUACAAGAGCGGCAGGAUAGAGCGCCUUCACCGGCCACCCAUCCUGCCUGCCGGCGACGACGAGGCCACCGGCGUCACCUCCAAGGACGUCGUCCUCGACGCGGACACUGGCCUCUCCGUGCGCCUCUACCUUCCCAAGCUCCAGGAACCCUCCACGAAGCUCCUGGUCCUCGUCUACUUCCACGGCGGCUCCUUCCUCAUCGAGUCGGCCGACUCCUCCACGUACCACAACUACGUGAACGCCCUCGCCGCGGCGGCCGGCGUCCUCGCGGUGUCCGUCGACUACCGCCUGGCCCCGGAGCACCCGCUCCCCGCGGCCUACGACGACUCCUGGGCGGCGCUCCAGUGGGCGGCGUUGGCGCAGGACGAGUGGAUCCGCGAGCACGGCGACACGGCCCGCCUGUUCCUCGCCGGCGACAGCGCGGGGGCCAACAUCGUCCACGACAUGCUCAUGAGGGUGGCCUCCAACGACGGCAGCCCGAGGGUCGAGGGCGCGAUACUGCUGCACCCGUGGUUCGGCGGGAGCAAGCCGGUGGAGGGGGAGCACCCGGCCGCGCCCAUGGUCACCGGGAUGCUCUGGUCCUACGCGUGCCCGGGCGCGGUGGGCGGCGCGGACGACCCGAGGAUGAACCCGCUGGCGCCGGGCGCGCCGGCGCUGGAGAGGCUCGGGUGCGUGAGGAUGCUCGUGACCGCGGGGCUGGCGGACGGGCUCGCCGCGCGCGACCGCGCGUACCACGACGCCGUAGCUGGCAGCGCGUGGGGCGGCACCGCGGCCUGGCACGGGUCCGAUGGGGAGGGUCACGUGUUCUUCCUGGAGAAGCCCGGGUGCGACAACGCCAAGCAGCUCAUGGACCGCGUCGUCGCGUUCAUAGCCGGCGCCUGA